UCGAGACAGGCGCCGGAGAAGACGAUGGAAUUCUCUGCUCGUAGGAGGAGGCGCUCGUCGCAGGAGGAGACGCUCGUCGCAGGUCGGAGGAGGAGAAGCUCGUCGCUCGUCGCAGGUCGCCGGAGGAGAAGCUCUUCGCCCGUCGCUCGUCGCUUGUUGCAGGUCGCAGGAGGAAGCUCGUCGCGGGGGGGUGAGGAAGCCCUGUUCGAGCACGAUCGAAGAAAUAAAAAAGGAACACAAUUUUGUUCCUUUUUUGUUUCUGAUUUGUG
rnacentral:lncRNA from 1 species